AAGCCAUUAUGGUCGUCGGGGUUCUCCGGAGAAAGAAGUAAGAUACGAUACAUGAGAGGGAGAGAUGUAUUAUAAUGAAUUGGCCCACACGAUUGUGGGGACUGGCAGGCUGCAGGCUGGAGAGCCAGAGAAGAGAUGAAGAAAAGAGAAGAGAUGAUGCUGAAUCUGGAGCCCAGAGACCACCUGGAGGCAGGAUUCCCUUUCCCUCCGGGACCUCUGUCUUUCUUUCUCUUAAGGCCUUCAACCAUUUAGGUGAAGUCCACUCACAUUAUGGGGGUAACCCUCUUCACUAAAUAUCCACUGAUUUCAAUGUUAAUCUCAUCUAACAAAUACCUUCACAGCAAUAUUUACACUGAGUGUUUGACCUAAUAUCUGGGUUCAUGGCCUAGCCAAGUUGGCACAAAAUCGCCCCUUGCAACGACCAAGUUUAAGAUGGUGUGUUAUGGGACAAAAGCCAUCUGGCAUACUUUGUAACCAUCAUCUCCGCUGGUCUUUCAACCCUGCAGACUCAGCUGUCUUAAGAAUUUUUCGGCAAAAUUUUGUAAUUCCAAAAUGUAGUAAUUCCAAAAGGCUGCAACUCUCCUGUUACUCUGGGGGAAAGCUUAACAACUAAGAUUCAGAGCAAAGGAAGACGAUGCCGGCAGCAGGCUUUGGGUGCUUGUGGGGCAGCAGGUUGUACCAGGGGCAGGUGCAGACCCCUGCCUCCCUUGCCUUCACCACAGUCACAACAGGCCAGGCCAGCCCAUCCAUCAUGUCUCUAGGAUAUCUCAGGGGUUCAAGGCCACCACACCAUUUGCAGCACACUCCACUCGCUGAUCUGUGAUAUGGGAGAUGUGCUUAUUGGCGAAUAAAUCACCAUGUCAAGUUAACGGCCUGUGUCCAAGGCGAGUGACUUCGAGGUCAGCAUAGCAGCAUACCAUUGGAUGCAGCGGGUUCUGCUUCUGCGCACAGUGCCUCAUCAGAACAUAAAUUUUCAAAUACCAGAUGUGAUAAAAGACAACAUCGAGCUUUCUGUUUUUUGAAGGAGAGGAGAAGGAGAUCCUGGAUACAUUCUCUGAAAGGUGCCUCCACUUCAUCACUGAUCCCGACACGUGGGAGGAAGGAGAGGAGGACAGUGAAGACCAUCAGCAAGGGAGAGCAGGUUCCCUGCCCUGGAUCCCUGCCCUGGUCCCCUGCCCUGAUUCCCUGCCCCAUGUUGUAGGUCUUUGGGCUACAUUUCUACCCAUUGGCUGAACAUAAAAACUGUCCUAUGAACUAUUUGGCAGCAAGUUCACAGCAAAGAAUAUUAACUCUGUGAGGCACCUUAGACAAUGCCUGGCUUAACCCCCACUUGACAAAUAAAGACACAUGUUCUGACUCACCCACCAUCCCAGGAGCAACUGACCAGGCUGAGGAACUCUGUCCACUGCCUGCAGCCCACUUGGCCUUCCACUGUGACGUCCAGGCUGAGGAACUGUGUCUGCCACCUGCAGCCCACUUGGCCUUCCACUGUGAUGUCCUUUCCAGGACUCUGAGCAGAGAUGGGUUUAUAACAAGCAUAAAUUGUUAUUUUGUAUCGAUCUGCACAUCAAUUUAUAUAUUUUGAAAAUUAAAAGAAAUCCAAUGAUAAGAAUUUUUCUCACAAGUUAAUUAAGGAAACUAGGUCAAUGGAAAUUUCUUAGGUUAUGAAAAUAUUGAUGUGAAUAUGUUAUGUGAGAAUCAUUUCAAAAUGAGUUAAAGGGGCUGGGCACAGUGGUUCACACCUGUAAUCCCAGCACUUUGGGAGGCCAAGGUGGGUGGAUCAUGAGGUCAAGACAUUGAGACCAUCCUGGCCAACAUGGUGAAACCCUGUCUCUACUAAAAAUACAAAAAUUAGCCAGGCAUGGUGGCACAUGCCUGUAGUCCCAGCUACUCAGGAGGCUGAGGCGGGAGAAUAGCUUGAACCUGGGAGGUGGAGGUUGCUGUCACGCGACUGCACUCCAGCCUGGUGAGAGAGCAAGAGAGCAAGACUCCGUCUCAAAAAAAAAAAAAAAAAAAAAAACAAACCAGGAGUUACAGGAAUCUAGGAUAUUUUGCUUUCUGUCCCUAAACUUUGGGGCUUAAUUUGGCAGAAACUUGGGAGUGGGAGGGUGAAGUUUGUGGCGUCCUGCUUGCCUUGAAUUUGUGGUGGCCACAGAAUGCAGGCUUGACUUCAUGCAGGUUCUCAUACAUCAUUAUGGAGAACAUCUUUUUGUAUUUACUUCAAUAUUUAUUUUGUAGUGAAAAUAAAAGCAAUACCAGUUUUCUGAAGGGUUUCUUAAAUCAAUUCCUUUGUGUCCUAUAGGGCAAUACUUUGCUCCUAGAGAAGUCUGUGAACCAUUGGUGUCUUUGAUUUGUCUCAUUAGAACGCCCACCCUCAU
rnacentral:lncRNA from 1 species